CCGAGACACUCGCCACUACACUUGGCCACAGCAUUGCCUACUUAACUCACUCAAUAGGUGAUGGUGAGGGUGUGGAAGAGAGAGGCGGUGGUUCAGGAACAUGGCUACCGUACCAUCCUACAGCACCAAACCCUAACCCGGACGUUGCUGGGCCAAUUGUGCGCCGCCCUAUGGGACUCCCAAUCACGGCCAGUUGUGAUGCAGCCUGGAAUCGAUCCAGGGUCUGUAGUGAUGCCUCUAGCAGUGAGAUGCAGGGCCCUAGACUGCUGCACCAUCAUGGAGACCCUGUUUGCUGUAAGCAGAUGACUGUCUUUGGGAAGCACCUCACCGUGCUCAAAGGUAUGAGGGCCAGAUG